rnacentral:rRNA from 1 species
UACGGAGGGUGCAAGCGUUGUUCGGAUUUAUUGGGCGUAAAGCGCGUGUAGGCGGUUUCUUAAGUCUGAUGUGAAAGCCCUGGGCUCAACCCAGGAAGUGCAUUGGAUACUGGGAAACUUGAAUACGGGAGAGGGUAGUGGAAUUCCUAGUGUAGGAGUGAAAUCCGUAGAUAUUAGGAGGAACACCGGUGGCGAAGGCGGCUACCUGGACCGAUAUUGACGCUGAUGCGCGAAAGCGUGGGGAGCAAACAGG